AGGGAAAUAGCUCAGUGGUAGAGCGCGUGCUUAGCAUGCACAAGGUCCUGGGUUCAAUCUCCAGGACCUCUG
rnacentral:tRNA from 1 species